rnacentral:rRNA from 1 species
GAGGUUAAGCGACUAAGCGUACACGGUGGAUGCCCUGGCAGUCAGAGGCGAUGAAGGACGUGCUAAUCUGCGAUAAGCGUCGGUGAGGUGAUAUGAACCGUUAUAACCGGCGAUUUCCGAAUGGGGAAACCCAGUGUGUUUCGACACACUAUCAUUAACUGAAUCCAUAGGUUAAUGAGGCGAACCGGGGGAACUGAAACAUCUAAGUACCCCGAGGAAAAGAAAUCAACCGAGAUUCCCCCAGUAGCGGCGAGCGAACGGGGAGGAGCCCAGAGCCUGAAUCAGUGUGUGUGUUAGUGGAAGCGUCUGGAAAGGCGUGCGAUACAGGGUGACAGCCCCGUACACAAAAAUGCACAUAUUGUGAGCUCGAUGAGUAGGGCGGGACACGUGGUAUCCUGUCUGAAUAUGGGGGGACCAUCCUCCAAGGCUAAAUACUCCUGACUGACCGAUAGUGAACCAGUACCGUGAGGGAAAGGCGAAAAGAACCCCGGCGAGGGGAGUGAAAAAGAACCUGAAACCGUGUACGUACAAGCAGUGGGAGCCUCUUAAUGGGGUGACUGCGUACCUUUUGUAUAAUGGGUCAGCGACUUAUAUUCUGUAGCAAGGUUAACCGAAUAGGGGAGCCGAAGGGAAACCGAGUCUUAACUGGGCGUUAAGUUGCAGGGUAUAGACCCGAAACCCGGUGAUCUAGCCAUGGGCAGGUUGAAGGUUGGGUAACACUAACUGGAGGACCGAACCGACUAAUGUUGAAAAAUUAGCGGAUGACUUGUGGCUGGGGGUGAAAGGCCAAUCAAACCGGGAGAUAGCUGGUUCUCCCCGAAAGCUAUUUAGGUAGCGCCUCGUGAAUUCAUCUCCGGGGGUAGAGCACUGUUUCGGCAAGGGGGUCAUCCCGACUUACCAACCCGAUGCAAACUGCGAAUACCGGAGAAUGUUAUCACGGGAGACACACGGCGGGUGCUAACGUCCGUCGUGAAGAGGGAAACAACCCAGACCGCCAGCUAAGGUCCCAAAGUCAUGGUUAAGUGGGAAACGAUGUGGGAAGGCCCAGACAGCCAGGAUGUUGGCUUAGAAGCAGCCAUCAUUUAAAGAAAGCGUAAUAGCUCACUGGUCGAGUCGGCCUGCGCGGAAGAUGUAACGGGGCUAAACCAUGCACCGAAGCUGCGGCAGCGACACUAUGUGUUGUUGGGUAGGGGAGCGUUCUGUAAGCCUGUGAAGGUGGCCUGUGAGGGUUGCUGGAGGUAUCAGAAGUGCGAAUGCUGACAUAAGUAACGAUAAAGCGGGUGAAAAGCCCGCUCGCCGGAAGACCAAGGGUUCCUGUCCAACGUUAAUCGGGGCAGGGUGAGUCGACCCCUAAGGCGAGGCCGAAAGGCGUAGUCGAUGGGAAACAGGUUAAUAUUCCUGUACUUGGUGUUACUGCGAAGGGGGGACGGAGAAGGCUAUGUUGGCCGGGCGACGGUUGUCCCGGUUUAAGCGUGUAGGCUGGUUUUCCAGGCAAAUCCGGAAAACCAAGGCUGAGGCGUGAUGACGAGGCACUACGGUGCUGAAGCGACAAAUGCCCUGCUUCCAGGAAAAGCCUCUAAGCAUCAGGUAACAUCAAAUCGUACCCCAAACCGACACAGGUGGUCAGGUAGAGAAUACCAAGGCGCUUGAGAGAACUCGGGUGAAGGAACUAGGCAAAAUGGUGCCGUAACUUCGGGAGAAGGCACGCUGAUAUGUAGGUGAAGCGACUUGCUCGUGGAGCUGAAAUCAGUCGAAGAUACCAGCUGGCUGCAACUGUUUAUUAAAAACACAGCACUGUGCAAACACGAAAGUGGACGUAUACGGUGUGACGCCUGCCCGGUGCCGGAAGGUUAAUUGAUGGGGUUAGCGGCAACGCGAAGCUCUUGAUCGAAGCCCCGGUAAACGGCGGCCGUAACUAUAACGGUCCUAAGGUAGCGAAAUUCCUUGUCGGGUAAGUUCCGACCUGCACGAAUGGCGUAAUGAUGGCCAGGCUGUCUCCACCCGAGACUCAGUGAAAUUGAACUCGCUGUGAAGAUGCAGUGUACCCGCGGCAAGACGGAAAGACCCCGUGAACCUUUACUAUAGCUUGACACUGAACAUUGAGCCUUGAUGUGUAGGAUAGGUGGGAGGCUUUGAAGUGUGGACGCCAGUCUGCAUGGAGCCGACCUUGAAAUACCACCCUUUAAUGUUUGAUGUUCUAACGUUGGCCCGUAAUCCGGGUUGCGGACAGUGUCUGGUGGGUAGUUUGACUGGGGCGGUCUCCUCCUAAAGAGUAACGGAGGAGCACGAAGGUUGGCUAAUCCUGGUCGGACAUCAGGAGGUUAGUGCAAUGGCAUAAGCCAGCUUGACUGCGAGCGUGACGGCGCGAGCAGGUGCGAAAGCAGGUCAUAGUGAUCCGGUGGUUCUGAAUGGAAGGGCCAUCGCUCAACGGAUAAAAGGUACUCCGGGGAUAACAGGCUGAUACCGCCCAAGAGUUCAUAUCGACGGCGGUGUUUGGCACCUCGAUGUCGGCUCAUCACAUCCUGGGGCUGAAGUAGGUCCCAAGGGUAUGGCUGUUCGCCAUUUAAAGUGGUACGCGAGCUGGGUUUAGAACGUCGUGAGACAGUUCGGUCCCUAUCUGCCGUGGGCGCUGGAGAACUGAGGGGGGCUGCUCCUAGUACGAGAGGACCGGAGUGGACGCAUCACUGGUGUUCGGGUUGUCAUGCCAAUGGCACUGCCCGGUAGCUAAAUGCGGAAGAGAUAAGUGCUGAAAGCAUCUAAGCACGAAACUUGCCCCGAGAUG